AUUAUACUCCCUCCGUCCCAAAAUUCAUGUCUUAGAUUUGUCUAAAUACGAAUGUAUCAUGUCACAUUUUAGUAUUAGAUACAUCUGUAUCUAGACAAAUCUAAGACAUGAAUUUUGGGAUGGAGGGAGUAGUAA
rnacentral:pre_miRNA from 1 species